AAAUAAAUAAAUAAAAAGGCUGAAUGCAUAAUUAAACGCUGACAUUUAUCAACCUCAAAUUCUUGGUCAAUCUUCAAGAUUGUCUUAAAAAUUUGAAUAGCGCUUCUUUUCCCUUUAAUGAAACUGGUGAGUGAAAUGCCCCUAAAACUGCAAUGCAAAACAGUGUUUUAAUCUGGUUGUUCAAAUGUAAUGUACAUAACAUGACAAAUAAAAGUCAACUCUACAUUAGCCCCAAGAAAUUGAACUACUGGAAUAAAGAUACCAAAAGUGUACGAAGGAACCUGGCAGAGGUUCUGAUGCACAUGGCAAAUUAUUCAUUCUUAUUUUAGGUUGAUUGAUAUUCGAGUGAUAGUACAUUUUGUCAUGUUCAUGACCUUUUUACUAAAUGGCAGGUGAUUGAUGAAUUUGAUCAAAAUGUGCAUUUUGUUGAAAUUGAUAUCGAGGAAGAUCAAGAAAUAGCUGAAGCAGCCGGAAUUAUGGACAAGGACCUGCUCAGGAGUCAAAAUGAAGAAAGAGACAGAGAAUUCAUUGAAGCAAAUACAUGAGAGGGUAUUCUAAGCAAUGAAUUUGCAGUUGCCAGCAUUUUGUCAUUCAAUUUUGUUCCUAGCAAAGGGUUAUAGCCAAAUAAUGCAUUAUAAUUCUUACGUCGAUACUUUGUAUUGUUAAACACUGCAGUGUAGAUUAUACAUGCAGACCUCCCAAAGCAAUUUUAAAUAUAGAAUUCCAUUUUUGUAUUUCA